rnacentral:rRNA from 1 species
GACGUAGGGGGCGAGCGUUGUCCGGAUUCAUUGGGCGUAAAGCGCGCGCAGGCGGCCCGGUAAGUCGGAUGUGAAAUCCCACGGCUCAACCGUGGAACUGCAUUCGAUACUGUCGGGCUAGAGGCAGGUAGGGGAGAUCGGAAUUCCUGGUGUAGCGGUGAAAUGCGCAGAUAUCAGGAGGAACACCGGUGGCGAAGGCGGAUCUCUGGGCCUGUCCUGACGCUCAGGCGCGAAAGCGUGGGGAGCGAACAGG